GUUGAAAAUUUUUCAAUCAAAAGCGUCAUUAAUUAACUAAAUUUUAUCUCGCUAAGGGGGGAAAGCUCCUUAUACUGUCAGUACUUAAAAAUAAUAAUCUAUGGGACAAACUAAUACUAUAUGAAUGGAUUCAAUUGUAAAAAACUCAUAAUUCGAACUUACGAAACCUCAGAAAAAAUUUGGAAUACUGUCGAUUGUGGAAAACACAAAAGUGGUUCAAAUAAUUUCAGUUGCAAAAUGACUACAUACAAUGUGUAUAUUGAAGCUAAUGUUAAAUUACCAUAAAUCUAGAUAUUUCGAAACUAGAAUUAAACUACAAAACAAAAAUAAAUAGUAACGCGAACUAGCAACCGAAAAUUCCACCAUCAAACAAACAAAAAUACUACAACAAAUUCGCAAAAUAAUCAACAACCAGUUUUGACGAAACACACAUCAUCAUCAAAUAUUGAGCGGCACUACUGCUGUUAAGUUAAGACAAACUAGCGGGUCGUCUACAUAGUGAGGUGGCUAGUGACACGGUAUAUAGUCGAAUUUGGAAAUGUACUUUUUCGCGAAUAUUCGUAGACAAGAACAGAUAGCGACUGAAACUCAAAUUUUGAACAAAAAUCAAGUAAAGCAUUAAAUAAAAAGCAACAGAAAACUAACUGAAAUUUUUAAAUGUUAACAUAAACUUUAGUGGCAAAUGGCAAAGAGAACGAAUUAGAAAUGUCAUAAUAAAAAAAAAAAUAAUAAAAAAGAUCAUCAAACGAGCAGUAUACUAAGUGCGAAGUUGGAAAUAAAAUGAAGCAAAAUAAAUUAGGAGAGCGAGCAGCAAAUGUAAGAUACAUACAUGGUAGACGUAUAUACAUAUGUACAUAAAAAAGCGCAAAGUUUUGCACAAUUCAUUUUAACUCCACACGAAAAUGUAAGAAUGUUGUUAAAUUAAGUAGAAUUUGGAAGUAUU